rnacentral:rRNA from 1 species
AGAACGAACGCUGGCGGCAUGCCUAAUACAUGCAAGUCGAACGAAGGCUUCGGCCUUAGUGGCGCACGGGUGCGUAACGUGUGGGAAUCUGCCCCUUGGUUCGGAAUAACAGUUGGAAACGACUGCUAAUACCGGAUGAUGACGAAAGUCCAAAGAUUUAUCGCCAAGGGAUGAGCCCGCGUAGGAUUAGCUAGUUGGUGAGGUAAAGGCUCACCAAGGCGACGAUCCUUAGCUGGUCUGAGAGGAUGAUCAGCCACACUGGGACUGAGACACGGCCCAGACUCCUACGGGAGGCAGCAGUAGGGAAUAUUGGACAAUGGGCGAAAGCCUGGUCCAGCCAUGCCGCGUGUGUGAAGAAGGCCUUCGGGUUGUAAAGCACUUUUGUCCGGUAAAGAAAAGCGCUGGGUUAACACCC